AAAAAAGGAAGUUGGAAGUUGUUGACUCAGGAAAGGACAUGACUUCAUUGGCACGAUUCACGUGAGAGUUAGCUGUGUUCCAUUACAUUUUUCAAGACAUUGGAAUCGUCCUGUUGGAAUAUUAUUGAAGUUUUCUGUUAAAAAGGCCCUAAAGAUUGAUGCUAUACAUCGUUUGACAUGUUUCUACGAACGUAAAUAUAACUUUUUUUGACAUUUCGUCUUUAAAUUUAACGCGCUUCCUACAUUUGGAGUAGCUUACUGAACGCGUAAACAACAAGGAGGUAUUUGGACAUAAAUUAUGGACUUUAUCGAACAAAACAACAUUUAUUGUGGACCUAGGAUUCCUGGGAGUGGAUUCUGAUGAAGAUCAUCAAAGGAAGAACACAGGACAGAGAGCUUUGGCUCUCUCAUACACUCAUUCAUGCAGGUGAAGUAAAAUCAAGUUGGACUCAGCCUCCUGCAGGAGAGAACACCACAAAAUCAAGCAGUUACCAAAACAACUUGGGGCUCGGACAUUGUUCCACAAGGAUGAAUGACUCUUCAGGAAAUGACACUGACCUUGACCACCUGGAUCUUGCUUGCUUGGACCAGGCCUUUGUUGUGAUAUGGCUGAUUUUUGCUGUGCAGGCCCUGUGCUUCCUCCUGGGGACGCCAGCUCUGGUCUGGUGCCUUUGGCUCUCUCUGAGUGGAAGUCUCUCUGGAGGUCUUAAACCCACUCAGGUCUUUCCUAUUAACCUGUUUGCAGUGGAGCUGAUGUUCUGUGUCCAGGUUCUCCUUAACGUGGUCAACUACCUCAUCCAGAAUGACAUGUUCCUGCAGGCUGUGUAUUUCCUCUAUGACCUCUCCUGGACCUGCAGGCCCCUGAUCCAGAGCUGCAUCUGUGUGGAGCACUACCUGGCGGUGGCCCAACCUGUGGCUUUCCUCAAGUACAGAUUCCGGAGGUACAGGGUGGCAUGUUCAACCAUGGUCUGGGUGUUGUCCCUCACUUAUGCCUGUUUUGGUAUGCUUUUAAUGAGUUCUAAGGAAAAAGCAGAUUAUGUGCUCAUUGGUGUCUAUUGCCUUGGGAUGGCCGUCAUUUCUCUCUGCUACUUCUUCAUACUGCGUGUGCUGAAGCAGCCUGGUCCAGGAGAGGUAGAGGGGGGCAGAGGGGGAGAGAAGAAACAGG
rnacentral:lncRNA from 1 species